AGUGAACGCUGGCGGUAGGCCUAACACAUGCAAGUCGAACGACAGCACAGUAAGAGCUUGCUCUUACGGGUGGCGAGUGGCGGACGGGUGAGGAAUACAUCGGAAUCUACUUUUUCGUGGGGGAUAACGUAGGGAAACUUACGCUAAUACCGCAUACGACCUACGGGUGAAAGCAGGGGAUCUUCGGACCUUGCGCGAUUGAAUGAGCCGAUGUCGGAUUAGCUAGUUGGCGGGGUAAAGGCCCACCAAGGCGACGAUCCGUAGCUGGUCUGAGAGGAUGAUCGGCCACACUGGAACUGAGCCACGGUCCAGACUCCUACGGGAGGCAGCAGUGGGGAAUAUUGGACAAUGGGCGCAAGCCUGAUCCAGCCAUACCGCGUGGGUGAAGAAGGCCUUCGGGUUGUAAAGCCCUUUUGUUGGGAAAGAAAAGCAGCAGGUUAAUACCCCGCUGUUCUGACGGUACCCAAAGAAUAAGCACCGGCUAACUUCGUG
rnacentral:rRNA from 1 species